rnacentral:rRNA from 1 species
CCCGCACAAGCAGCGGAGCGUGUGGUUUAAUUCGAUGCAACGCGAAGAACCUUACCAGGGUUUGACAUGCAUAAAGUAGAAAACUCGAAAGAGGGACGACCUGUAUCCAAUCAGGAAUUUGCACAGGUGCUGCAUGGCUGUCGUCAGCUCGUGCCGUGAGGUGUUAGGUUAAGUCCUGCAACGAGCGCAACCCUCGUCGCUAGUUAUUUUCUCUAGCGAUACUGCCCGUAUAACGUGGAGGAAGGUGGGGAUGACGUCAAGUCAGCAUGGCCCUUACAUCCUGGGCUACACACACGCUACAAUGGGUGAUACAACAGGUUGCAAUAGAGCGAUCUGGAGCCAAUCCAAAAAAUCAUCCUCAGUUCGGAUUGUAGGCUGCAACUGCCUGCAUGAAGUUGGAGUUGCUAGUAAACGCAGGUCAGCACACUGCGUUGAAUACGUUCUCGGGCCUU